rnacentral:rRNA from 1 species
AUUGAACGCUGGCGGCAGGCUUAACACAUGCAAGUCGAGCGGAGUGAUGGUGCUUGCACUAUCACUUAGCGGCGGACGGGUGAGUAAUGCUUAGGAAUCUGCCUAUUAGUGGGGGACAACAUCUCGAAAGGGAUGCUAAUACCGCAUACGUCCUACGGGAGAAAGCAGGAGAUCACUUGUGACCUUGCGCUAAUAGAUGAGCCUAAGUCGGUUUAGCUAGUUGGUGGGGUAAAGGCCUACCAAGGCGACGAUCUGUAGCGGGUCUGAGAGGAUGAUCCGCCACACUGGGACUGAGAAACGGCCCAGACUCCUACGGGAGGCAGCAGUGGGGAAUAUUGGACAAUGGGGGGAACCCUGAUCCAGCCAUGCCGCGUGUGUGAAGAAGGCCUUAUGGUUGUAAAGCACUUUAAGCGAGGAGGAGGCUCUUUUGGUUAAUACCCAAGAUGAGUGGACGUUACUCGCAGAAUAAGCACCGGCUAACUCUAUGCCAGCCGCCGCCGUAA